ensembl:snoRNA
UCCCUCUGGAUUCCUUACUCCUUGGAUCUAAAUAUUGGUCUGAGUGUCUUCACAAAAAGAAGGGAAAGUAAAACUGAAAUGGACUUGGAGGCUAUUGUGACAAACAAAUUCAUGUCAAACAUAU